UUGAAUCGGAAGAAUGGAGGGAAAUGGAAGUUUCUAGGGGCCCUGUAAAAUGGGAGCAGGAUGCAGGAUGCAGGUAUCAUGAGGAGCAGGGUGAGCUGCAGGAGUUUCUAACUCCCUGAGAAAGCUUCUUCCCCCUAGAAAGACAAAAAUGUUUAUCCCUUGUCUCUUCUAUUCAGUCUGAGGGACGCAAAGCCCUGUCUCCUUGCAAAGCAUCCAGGCUGACUUUUGCUGUCUUUGCAUCCAUUCCACAAACUGCUCUUCAUCCAAAUAGUUAACUCUGCUGCCUGAGGACCCGGGGUGGAGGUCGGAAGGAAGCCACCAACACAAAAGCCACAGAGCAGCAGUUCCGCUUGCUUGCUUGCUUGCUCGGAGGUGCUUAUGGAGACAGAAACUCGAGAAAACAAAGGGACCGAGUAUGUGAACUCGCAAAUCCUCCUCACAUGCCGAUGGUUGGUGGGUGGCAGGAGCAGCGUUUAGUUCCCUGCAGUGGGCGGUUUUUUUUUUUUUGUUUUUUUUUUUUUUGUUUUUUUUUUUUUAUGGCGCCCAGUGACAAAGAGCCAAAGAGGAUAAGAGCCCUGAGAGCCCAAAGUGGAAAACUACCAAGUUCCGCCGCCAGCCCAGCAUCGUCACCUCACCGAGUGAGCACAGCGGGGGCUCAAGCCAUCAAAGCUCGAAGCAAGGGAGACUCUGGUGGGGUCAUCGGUACACCCCGUGGCCCAGCCCCGCACCACACAAGGAACCCCACAGGGUAAAAUUAACAUAUUGAGGAGGCAACUACAGCUCAGAGAAGAAAGUCAUUCAAUUGAUCUCAGCUCUGUGGUCCUCUGAGUGGAUCAGCUAAAUGCCUACUUGGAGGAGAGCAUUAAAUGUCCUGAAAAAUAGCUUUAGAACAUGAGCAAACUGAAGCGGCUACAUCAGAGGUUCUAAAAUAUCUCACGUGUGUGUGUGUGUGUGUGUGUGUGUGUGUGUGUGUGUGUGUGCGUGUGUGUUUGAGUCAGCGUUAGCAAUUGGUAACCACUUUCUGCGGUGAUGAAUCCAUGGGACCCAGGGUAGAGCAGUGAAAACUGAACACACACACUUCAGCCAGAAUAGCAGUAGCUUACACAUUGGUGAAGGAAGGCAGGAGAGCUCUCUGGAAAGCUUACUGCUUGUGGAGAUGUGAGGACCGGGGUUGAAAGUCUGUCAGUGACAAACCUGAUUGAAGGCCUCAGGGAUCUUGCCUUUCUCAAACAGGACAGUGGUGGAGAACGUGAAGUCCAUCACUAUAGGUACCAUUCAGUUUUAUAUGACAAAUGACCUAAGUUGCCAAUUGAUGUGUUUGCUCAACAAACAUAUAGUAAGCACUACUAAGGAGCAGGGCAUAUUUAAUGGCAGACCAAGUGUCGUCGUCGUCGUCGUCGUCCCCCCCGCUUCCCCGCGGCCCCCCUCAAGUUGUGAGUGGGCAGCUUUGGCGUGGGUGGUAACACGUGGGUGGAACGUGGAGAGAUGGAGGGAGGUAAGCUGCAUGCAUCGUGAAGGCUAUGUUGGCAAAUCUGAUUUUGUUUUUGUUUUUGGUUUUUGGUUUUUCGAGACAGGGUUUC
rnacentral:lncRNA from 1 species